GUGAGUAACACGUGGGUAACCUGCCUGUAAGACUGGGAUAACUCCGGGAAACCGGGGCUAAUACCGGAUGGUUGUUUGAACCGCAUGGUUCAGACAUAAAAGGUGGCUUCGGCUACCACUUACAGAUGGACCCGCGGCGCAUUAGCUAGUUGGUGAGGUAACGGCUCACCAAGGCAACGAUGCGUAGCCGACCUGAGAGGGUGAUCGGCCACACUGGGACUGAGACACGGCCCAGACUCCUACGGGAGGCAGCAGUAGGGAAUCUUCCGCAAUGGACGAAAGUCUGACGGAGCAACGCCGCGUGAGUGAUGAAGGUUUUCGGAUCGUAAAGCUCUGUUGUUAGGGAAGAACAAGUGCCGUUCAAAUAGGGCGGCACCUUGACGGUACCUAACCAGAAAGCCACGGCUAACUACGUGCCAGCAGCCGCGGUAAUACGUAGGUGGCAAGCGUUGCCCGGAAUCAUUGGGCGCAAAGGGCUCGCAGGCGGUCUCUCAAGUCUGAUGUGAA
rnacentral:rRNA from 1 species